CCUACGGGAGGCAGCAGUGGGGAAUAUUGCACAAUGGGGGAAACCCUGAUGCAGCGACGCCGCGUGAGUGAAGAAGUAUUUCGGUAUGUAAAGCUCUAUCAGCAGGGAAGAAAUAAAGUCCUUCGGACUUUGGACGGUACCUGACUAAGAAGCCCCGGCUAACUACGUGUCAGCAGCCGCGGUAAUACGUAGGGGGCAAGCGUUAUCCGGAGUUACUGGGUGUAAAGGGAGCGUAGACGGCAGCGCAAGUCUGGAGUGAAAUCCCAUGGCUUAACCAUGGAACUGCUUUGGAAACUGUGCAGCUGGAGUGCAGGAGAGGUAAGCGGAAUUCCUGGUGUAGCGGUGAAAUGCGUAGAUAUUAGGAGGAACACCAGUGGCGAAGGCGGCUUACUGGACUGUAACUGACGUUGAGGCUCGAAAGCGUGGGGAGCAAACAGGAUUAGAUACCCUUGUAGUC
rnacentral:rRNA from 1 species